AGGUUGUUUUCUCUCUCUCUCUUUUUCUCUCUGCCCCACCGUGUGAGCAAAUGAGGAAGAGGGCCCUCACCAGAACCCAUCCAUGCUGGCACCCUGAUCUGGGACCUGACAGCCUCCAGAACUGUGAGAAAUAAAUGUCCAUUAUUUAAGCAUCGAGUAAUUCUUGAUUCACAGGAACACAGUCCUUGCAAACAGUCACCUCUGGCUGGUCAGCAUGUCCGAUGGAUGCAGGAGAGAGUGAUAUUUUCGGUUCAUGAUAAGGUGGACCCCACUGAGGAAACGUGACAAACUCUCAUCACCUUUCUCUCCCCCACACUCUGAAGUGCUGACUUCCAAUCGUUUCCGCAGUGAUGCAGGACAGGUGGUUUCGGAGGGAGCAUGCUCCUUUGGGAGGGUCACAAGCAAUUCCCCUGGAACUGUACUGUGACGUCAUGCCUUUCUCUCCCACUCAAGGGACCACUGGAGAGGCAACGUGACCUUGUUCUAAGAUUCACCUUGAAUUUAUCUAAUUGUCGUGCAAUAUGACUCUUACUCUAAACUCAGUGGGUCCCUGUAGAGAGGCAGGCUUGUGGCAGCUUCCGUUCCAAGCUUGGGAAUCUUGGCUGAAGCUGGGAAUCCUAGGCCGAGGCCCUAAGCCUCUGAGAC
rnacentral:lncRNA from 1 species